rnacentral:rRNA from 1 species
CCUACGGGAGGCAGCAGUGAGGAAUAUUGGUCAAUGGACGAGAGUCUGAACCAGCCAAGUAGCGUGAAGGAUGACUGCCCUAUGGGUUGUAAACUUCUUUUAUAUGGGAAUAAAAUGUUCCACGUGUGGGAUUUUGUAUGUACCAUAUGAAUAAGGAUCGGCUAACUCCGUGCCAGCAGCCGCGGUAAUACGGAGGAUCCGAGCGUUAUCCGGAUUUAUUGGGUUUAAAGGGAGCGUAGGUGGAUUGUUAAGUCAGUUGUGAAAGUUUGCGGCUCAACCGCAAAAUUGCAGUUGAAACUGGCAGUCUUGAGUACAGUAGAGGUGGGCGGAAUUCGUGGUGUAGCGGUGAAAUGCGUAGAGAUCACGAAGAACUCCGAUUGCGAAGGCAGUUCACUGGACUGCAACUGACACUGAGGCUCGAAAGUGUGGGUAUCAAACAGGAUUAGAUACCCGAGUAGUC